UUAAAUUUCUGAAUCAAAAGUAAACCCCAAAAAAAAAAAAGAAGCACCUUGUGAUACUUAAAUUUUUUAGUGUCUCCCAUAAAAUAGUUCCAGACAAAGGCAAAUAUGAAGUUUAGGAAUCCAUGUAUUUAGUGGAUGUCAUUUUCUGAAUAUAAUUCUGUAUGAAAUGGUGCAAUACAAGAAUUUCCUUCUAAUCUUGAAGCAUACAGUUUAGGUGCUUGGCAUAUAAUUUGCUAAGCACACUCAGAAGACUAUGGGCCUAUAAGAGGGCAGAUUUUUCUCAUUAUCCUUUUUGUGUUUUGGUACUAUAAUUGCUAGCCCCCAACCUUCAGGAUAUGAUUUGUUUGAUUGAGAUGCAAACCUGGGCUAACUAGUGGAACUAGUCCUCCUCCAGGUCUCCACACUCCGUGUGUGGCAUUGCCAUAUAAGCCAUAAUACAAAAUCCAUCCAUCUCUAACUUAAAUGUAGCCCACGUUUCCUGCAAUUAAAGGAGAUCACAUUUGGAGUGGAACUUAACCCAAAAAGGUGGUCUUUGGGACUGACUGGCCAGCCUGCAAUGUUCCAUGAGAUGAGGAUGAGAGGGCUGGCUUUGGGGAAGAUAUCAUGAUACCUGCUUUUGUGGAGUUACAUUUGAGGUGUUAAAUUUUGGCUUGAGAGUGUUCCUCCUGUAAGGCAGUGAGAUGCCUUUCCUCCCCCUUGAUUACAAAGAGGAGAAGCAGGGAAAUGUGUCUCCCAGGUCAAGUGACUGCAAUGAGUUCACUGGACCAAGUAGAUGGUAUACUCCCUGGAGGGCAUCCUACAAUUUGAUCCAUCUGGGUCAAAUUCAGCAUUUUGGAGGUACAAUGUUCCUGCCGAUUCCCUUCAGAGUACCUAGCAUCCUGAGUACUGGCAGAGCUUUAUGGCAUCAUUAACAUGCCAUGACACCCACCCACCUACAAUUAUCUCUUUUACCCAGAUAAAGGCCAUCUCCCCAUGAAUGACUUAUCAUACCUUCAUACCGUCCCCAAUCUAUCCUGCUGUAAAGUCUGCCCCACUUACUCUUAUUUUGUCACACAAAGGUUGGAAAACCCUGGAACAUGCUGUGAGACUCUAGGUGGGAAAUGACUGAUGUAUGUUGUGGAAAGAGGGCCACGGAGUGUGAAAAUAUGUUGGUGCCAGUAGUGGGGAAGAAGGGAGAGUGGGGAGAUGCAACCAAAGGAGGCAGACAGAGGCUGCCAUAGUGGGAGGUGAAGCAGCAGCUGUACAAGCCAGGGUGGAGGGAGGAAGUUUCCUCAUCUGUCCAGGGCCCCAACUACAGAUGGGAAAUCAAGAGACCUCCUCCUCCUCCUGGUGCUUUGACAGUGCAUUAGUGGAAUUAAUGUAUUGCUUCCUUUAAAGUAGGUGGGAAGUCGGGGCAACAAUACAGCUUACAAAGCUGCCUUCAAUCAUGCAAAGAAGUCAACAUACAAUUCACAUUUGGAGAAAAAGAAUAUUUCAGGGCAGCUACCAAAUGCUGUGCCAUGGACAACUGCAAUACUAUUCCUGACGUACCUCGCGCAGAUGCGAAAAACAGCAAUCUGGAG